rnacentral:rRNA from 1 species
GACGGACGCUGGCGGCGUGCCUAAUACAUGCAAGUUGAGCGAUGAAGAUUGGUGCUUGCACCAAUUUGAAGAGCAGCGCACGGGUGAGUAACGCGUGGGGAAUCUGCCUUUGAGCGGGGGACAACAUUUGGAAACGAAUGCUAAUACCGCAUAACAACUUUAAACAUAAGUUUUAAGUUUGAAAGAUGCAAUUGCAUCACUCAAAGAUGAUCCCGCGUUGUAUUAGCUAGUUGGUGAGGUAAAGGCUCACCAAGGCGAUGAUACAUAGCCGACCUGAGAGGGUGAUAUGACAAACUGGGACUGCGACACGACCCAAACCCCUACGAGAUGCAGCAGUAGGGAAUCUUCGGCGAUGGACGAAAGUCUGGCCGAGCAACGCCGCGUGAGUGAAGAAGGUUGUCGGAUCGUAAAACUCUGUUGGUAGAGAAGAACGUUGGUGAGAGUGGAAAGCUCAUCAAGUGACGGUAACUACCCAGAAAGGGACGGCUAACUACGUG